GCGACCGUACUCCUCAGGCGGCACACAUUAUACGCGUUAGCUUCAGCACCCGCAUUGGUUUCCCAAUACAAACACUUAGUGUGCAUCGUUUACGGCAUGGACUACCGGGGUCUCUAAUCCCGUUCGCUCCCCAUGCUUUCGCGUCUCAGCGUCAGGUUUAGCCCAGGGCACCGCCUUCGCCACUGGUGUUCCUCCGGAUCUCUACGCAUUUCACCACUACACCCGGAAUUCCGUACCCCUCUGCUAUCCUCUAGUUGUGCGGUUUCAAAUGUCCUCUCCCGGUUUAGCCUGGGAGCUUUCACAUCUGACCUUCACUACCGCCUACACGCGCUUUACGCCCAGUAACUCCGGAUAACGCUUGCCUCCUACGUUUUACCGCGGCUGCUGGCACGUAGUUAGCCGAGACUUAUUCCUGUGCUACCGUCCUUGUCUCGUCACACAGAAAAGAGCUUUACGACCCGAAGGCCUUCUUCGCUCACGCGGCGUCGCUGCAUCAGGCUUUCGCCCAUUGUGCAAUAUUCCUCA
rnacentral:rRNA from 1 species